UCUUUUGGAUCUAACUGCAUGCAUUCCAAAUGUGCUGAUGGUCUCUACUGCAACUUAAAUGUAUGCACCUGUUUUAGUAAUCAAUAUUACGAUUCAUCAUUUAGAAUCUGCAAAGUCAAAAUAACCUACGGAAAUACCUGUAACAGUACAGUGCAAUGUGUUAGUGGUCUCAACUGUACUGGAGCGAGAUGUGGCUGUUUGUUAGGUCAUUAUUAUGAUCAAAGUUUUUCAAUAUGCAGACCUACACUUGCGUACGGAGGUUUGUGUACGUCUACAAGUCAGUGCCAACAAGAAUUGCAAUGUGUUGGGAAUCAUUGCAACUGCUCUGCUUAUUAUUACUUUCGAAAUCAUUCAUGUC
rnacentral:sRNA from 1 species